GACGAACGCUGGCGGCGUGCCUAAUACAUGCAAGUAGGACGCAGUUUCGAACGGGUGAGUAACGCGUAGGUAACUCCCUCUUAGAGGGGGAUAACUCUUGGAAACGAUAGCUAAUACCGCAUACUAGUUGAUGGACCUACGUUUUAUUAGCUAGUAGGUAGGGUAAUGGCCUACCUAGGCAACGAUACAUAGCCGAACUUGGAAGGGGAUUGGCCCAAACGGGACUUGGGAACGGGCCAGACUCCGAAGGGAGGCAGCCGUAGGGAAACUUCGGACAUGGGGGGAAACCUUACCGAGCAAAGGCGCGGGAGUGAAGAAGGGUUUUGGAUCGUAAAGCUCUGUUGUUAAGGAAGCGGUACUUAACCAGAAAGGGACGGCUAACUACGUGCCAGCAGCCGCGGUAAUUC
rnacentral:rRNA from 1 species